rnacentral:lncRNA from 1 species
UUUUUUUAUAAAAGUAGGGAUACAAUCAUGAAUGGCAUGAAUAAUGAUGAAUAGAUCGUGUUUGCUAUUACUCAGGCACCUGAAAUUUUCUGUCCCAUCCAUUGAUUCAUUUUCUCCCUGUACAGGAACUAAUCAGUUAAUUGUGUGUGUCCGGAACGCCGCAGCCUCAAUCCACGAUCAUCUCUCAUGUGAAUUGUGUAGUGCGUUCGUGUUAAGUUGCCAUUGUCUGUUCACUGUGUGCGAUGUCAGUGUGUGUGCGCGCUUUUUGUAUGUGUGUGUACGUGACAUCGCGUGUGUGUUUGUCGUGCGCAAUGAUAAAGUGUUUUUUAGGAAAUAUCAAUGCCCCAAAUUCAUUCUAUCUUAAAAUAAUUCUGUUUUGUUUUUGUUUUUUUAUGUCAUUGUUCAUGGAUGCUUCAAUUAUUUAGUCGUAGGCUUUUCUCCUAUAUUUGUGCAUGCCGCGAUGCAUUUGAUGUUGCAAUGUAACACUGCUUAAUUUUCUGUUAGCAACUAAAAUGAAAUUCAUUUUCGUAAUUGACCUACCUAAAUUAAUAAAAAAAUGUCUUUUUUCGCCCAUGUGUAGUCGAAUUUUUUGGCCGUUGGGUUUUUUCUCCAUAUAUGCCCAAGUGAUAACAUAUUAGUGAUUGGGGCCAUCAUUAUUGGCCGCUUGAGAGGAAGCUAUGCGCCCGUUUCUUCGUCUUAAAAGAAGAAGAAAAGAAGAAGAAAACCUCACCUCAAUCUCAAAAAAUAAUUUAAUAAAAAUUCUUGCAUCGCGUGGUCCCAUCCAUCUAAAAAAAUCAUAGGAAAACUUUUCUCAAAAAAAAGGAAAAAAAUCCCACUUCAUCUUCCAAAAUUAGUCUCUAGUAAAAAUCAAAAACUUUCUCACUGCAGCCAACAAGCAUGCGCCACUUGGCAUAGCUGGUUGGCCGGCCUUCUCGUGCGCCUUAAUGGGUUUAAUUGAUAUCGUAACUACGUGAUACAGUUUCUAAAAAAAAUGUGACACUAAUUGAUUUUUUUUUGCUAGAAAACUAAAAUGGUUGUUUUUCUUGUUUUGAUCUAUUUUGAAUCAUCAUCAUUAUUAUUAUUAUAUUUGCACUAGUUUACCCUUGUUCUUGCAUAAUAAUAUUAUAAUUAUGAGUUUUGCUUAUUUUUGUGCAAGUUUUUAAUACAUUUUGAAUUCACUUUAUAAGAAAAAAGUUUGACAAGAACUCUUUAUGAUUGUCCAUGUUAGGCAUAUUUGCAUAAUACUCCUUCCUUUUCUUUUUACUACCCAUAUUCGUUUUAUCUUAAGUCAACUUUUUAAAAUAUAUCAACCUUAUAGAAAAGGAUAUUGACAUUCACAAUACCAAGUUUUUCUUCCAUUUUCUUUCUUCUUUAGAAUAAUACCAAUGCACCUAAUUCAUUCUUCCUUCGAUUUUUUUGUUGUUUUUGCUUUUAUGUUCUACUCCCUCCGUCCCAAAGUAAGUGCCCCAACCUUAGUACAACUUUAUACUAAAGUUAUAAUAAGGUUGAGACACUUAUUUUGGGACGGAGGGAGUAUUUGUUAAUUUUUAGUAUCUUUUUAAUUUUUACUAGCAACAUAUUUUCUUUAAGCAGGUCAUUGUGUUGAUCUUAAUUCCACACCUCAAAGCCCGUGGUGUAAGAAUAUUGUAUAAGUCUAAUGUGACCAAUGUAUUUUUUGUGAUUUUAUUUAAAAAAUUAACGUAAUGGUUGUUGAAAUAAAAGAGUAUAAUAGAUGUUUUAGUUCACACUUUUAUGUGCAAGUUUACACUUGUUCUUGCACUAGUUUACACUUGUUCUUUCACAAUACUGAAAUGUGCAAGUUUUGCAUAUUUUGUGUGCAAGUUUUUAAUAUAUUUUGAAUCCUCUCUAUAUGAAAAGUCUUUAUGAUUGUCCAUCUUAGGCAUAUUUGCAUAAUACCACUUUCUUUUUCUUUUUACUACCCAUAUUAUUUUUGUCUUAAGUAAAAAAAUCAAGCUUAUAAAAAAGAAUACUUACAUUCACAAUGCCAAGUUUCUAUUUCAUGUUCUUUCUUCUUUAGGGUAAUACCAAUGCCCACAAUUCAUUUUACCUUAGAAUGUUUUUUAUUUUAGUAUUUUUUGUGUUUAAGUUUAAGCUUAUUUUUUUAUUACAACGAAUUUUAUUUAACCAGGCCGUUUUGUUGAUCUUAAUUCCACACCUUAUAGCCCGUAGUGUAAGAAUAUUGUGGAAAUUCGAUAUGACCAAUGUAAUUUAUUGUGUGGUUCUAAUUUUAAAAAUAGCAUAAUAGUUGCUAAAAUAAAAAACCAGAAUCAAUGUUUUAAUUCCCUCUUUUCUCCUCUCAUUAAUUUGUAUAAGUAUAGUGUAUGCAUGCGCAAGCAAAUAUACUUGUUAAGAAAAGUUUUACAUUCACAUGCAUAGUGUGUGCGCAUGCACAAAUGACAGAUUUUAGCAAGCUGAUUGGAUAAUAUAUAUUUUCAGGCACGUGACACAUAGGUGAUCCCUGAAUAGAUUAGAAGUUUUCCCCACAAAAAAAAGAGAGAGAAAAGGAAAAGAAAAGCAGGAAUAGCUCGAAUUUACAAGUAAGAAACGAACAGCGGGGCGCUUGCCAUGAAUAGGCAGUAUGCAUUCAAAACCGCGGUCACCAUGGACGGCCAGCCGGCCACCCCUCGAAAUUAAAGGCUGUGCAUUUCGCAUGCUUCCCCCGAGCCAAAUCGCCCUGCCUGCAUUGCUUCCUGAUCACCCAUUCCUACUCCCGGCCGGGCUCCCGGCCGGCCGGCCGGCAAGCACUACAAGAUGUUGAGCUGGCUCCGUUGUUUCCCGCACGACGGCACCGUCAUGGACGAGGAGAGGAAGCCCAGGCCCGGGAGGAGCGCCACUUUCAGGAAGAAGCAUAGCCCCGAUGCCGCGCCGUCUCGGAAACGGUUCGUCCGGUCGGGCACCUCGCUCACCGCGUCCUCGUCGGCACGAGCCAGCUUCGGCCGCCACUCCGUCGACGUCCCCAACUACAACCACAGCAUCGUCUCGGCGCGCUCCUUCACCUUCCCUGAGCUCGCCGCCGCCACGGACAGCUUCAGCCAUGCCAACCUCAUCGGCGAGGGCGGCUUCGGCCGCGUCUACAGAGGCCUCAUCGGCUCGUCGGCGGUGGCCGUCAAGCAGCUCGACCGCACGGGGUUCCAGGGCGACCACGAGUUCCUCGUGGAGGUGCUGGUGCUGAGCAGCCUCCUGACCCACCCCAACCUCGUCGGCCUCCUGGGCUACUGCGCCGACGGCAACCAGCGGCUCCUCGUCUACCAACUCAUGCCGCUCGGCUCCCUCGAAAAUCACCUCUUCCUCCCCCGAGUCCCAGCGGACGGCGAAGAGAAGCCACCACCGCCGGUUCUGCCGUGGCGGACCAGGAUGAGGAUCGCGCACGACGCCGCCCAGGGCCUGGAGUUCCUCCACGAGACUGCCAACCCGCCGGUGAUCUACCGCGACCUCAAGUCCUCCAACAUCCUCCUCGACGAGGGAUACAACGCCAAGCUCUCCGACUUCGGCCUCGCCAAGCUGGCCACACCGAUCACCCGCAACGGCAAGGGCGGUGACGCGGAGGAGGAGAAGGACGGUUCGUCGAGGGUGAUGGGCACGUACGGUUACUGCGCGCCGGAGUACGUGAGGAAGGGGCACCUGACGGUGAAGUCGGACGUGUACAGCUUCGGCGUGGUGCUGCUGGAGCUCAUCACCGGCAGGCGGGUCAUCGACGAGAGCAGGCCCUCUGGGGAGCAGAACCUCGUGGCCUGGGCGGCGCCCAUGUUCAGCGAGCAGAGGAGGAUGCACGAGCUGGUGGAUCCGCUCCUGGUAGAAGGGCCGAGCGGCAGGGAGCUGAAGCAGGCGGUGGCGGUGGCGGCUAUGUGCUUGCAGGAGGAGGACACCGUAAGGCCCAUCAUGUCGGACGUCGUCAUGGCGCUCAGCUUCGCCGCCGACGACUUACCCUCGGCUCCCAGAUACACGUCACUUUAGCAUAUUACUAUAUCUGGUGGCAUUGGCUAACAUUGUGUGGUUUUUAUCCGGUGGCAUUGGCUAACAUUGUGGGGUUUGCGUCUUACAAAAUGAAAUAAUAAAACAGGGGAUUCGGCUCAGAUUUCAAGUCGCAAACCUUGCAAAAUACCACCGCUAAAUACCAUGAAUUUCCUACAUACUCCCUCCGGUCCGAAAUAUAAGAUCAUUUAGAGAUUUCAAUAUAUACUACAUACAGAGCAAAAUAAGUGAAUAUACGCUCUAAAAUAUGUGUAGUCCGUAUUGAAAUCUCUAAAAGGGCUUAUAUUUAGAAACGGAGGGAGUACAUACAUACAGAAAAUAAAAUAUCGAAGCAUGGCAUAUUAGUUCUUACCACAGGCUGAACAAAAGGAAACUCUUUAAAGACGGGAGACUACAUGUACAGCAACAGACCCUCAGUUCCUGCUAGCUAGCUAGCUAUGCUACAGACUUUUGCCUACAGGCAGGCACAAUGGAGGAGCUUUGCACCCUUCCCUAAAUUCUACUGCCUCCAAAGUGAUCACCAUGAAUCAUUAAAGGAAAAUGGUAGAAAAAGAAAAAAGAACUGCUUCCUAUAUAGAUAGGUACCACUGCGUUCAUUUUCAUCCUUCUUGGAAAGACAGACAUGGAGGGACAGUCAGUCCUGGAUCACAAACAAAACCAGAGGAACCAUUCCACCAAGCGGACAGCAUACAUCUCACACCUCCGCGCCGACCAACCAAUAGCACGGGGGCCUAUGGACGCU